AAGGAGGUUGAGGAUCCCGAAGCUGGUCGUAUUCAGGUGAUCCAUAUAGAUGAGGCUGCUGUAAGAGAGGGUUUGCCUCUGCAAGUAUCUUCUUUGAAUGUCAUGAGAUAUUUAGAGAUCUUUCGUCACCCUGAUACUGCAGGGAUAUAAGUUUGCUCUAUUAAUAAUUUAAUCUUGAAGUCCAUUUAUGAGCAUAUGAGGAAAAGAAUGAUUUAGCUUCAGGUUUUCUUUUGCUUCUCGUGUGUCGAAGUGUCGUUUGUGAGUCCAGAAAUCCCGACCGCUUUACUGCUUGUACAAUUAAAAUCCGCCGUUUGUUCUUUAAAAACUGGUAAUUUCAACACUGAACGCUUUUGUG